GUUUAAUUUGAGCUUUAACUUGUUCCAAGUGUAACAUUGAGAUCUUACCGCUUCUUUUGUUUUCCACGCUCCGCUGCGCUCUGUGGCAGCAGCAGUCACAAGUGUCAGACCAUCAACUAAGCCUGGUUUUGAGUUGAGUGUGAAGGAAACUACACUGACAAUGAAAACACUCGCGGGGUAUUUCCAUGCCAAGGCUGUGUGCAGGUUUGGCACCCCUCCUCCCUUUGCACACCCCACAGUGAUGUUGGAGCUCAGUGGGUGAAGGUGGGAGCGGGGCCACUCGUGGCAGCCAUGGUGCAUGGGUCCGGUGGGAUUUGCGUCUCUAUUUCUCUGUUGCUGUUCUGAGUGGAGCUUGUGUGAGUAAACCUAUUGUGGUUUUAAGUUAACGUGCAAUUGGACAAGGAAGAUUAUUUGAGUGUUUGCUCUGUAUGUUUCUCCUUUGUCUUUUGUCUUGCUUGACUGAUACACAGCAAUGCACUUUGGCAACCUCAGCCUACCCCUCUACUCUCAUUAGCACUCCAGCAUGUGUUUUUACUUUAUGGAGGGCCGCACGGCGUUGCGGAUGGCAAUGGGAGAGGAGGUGGUGUGGGUAUGUGGCAACCACUUCUAGCACUGACAGCAUCCUGGCAUUUUUGAGAAGCCAGAGUUGUCACACGGUUUGUUCUGAAAGCCAUUUGCAAUCUUAACUGUAGUAACAGUCAUAAUCAUCGUCCCGCUAGUGCAGAGGAUGUGUGGGAGAAACAGGCCUCCUUGAAAAUUCCCUCCGAGGCCGUGCCAAGCCUGAAGCAAUCUUUUUUUCAUGACGGAAAGCCGUUCUCACGGCGGUGGGUAGCAGCCCAGCUGCGACGUGUCAGCGCCGAGCGCUGCGUCCCGCUCUGGAGCAGCACGGCUCCGCUGCAUCCUCUCGUCAAGUGUGUAGGAGGCGGCGUGGUCGUUUCUGCAGAAGCAGGGAAAUGCAGCCCUGGCUGUGCUGCGAUGUCCUCUGAGUCAGCAGAGCGGCCCUGUGCCCUCCCGGCCUCGCAGCCUGCUGCAUGGAGCGGCGGUGCCGCAUGGCAGCCCCUGGGACGCAGCGCAGCCACACACAACGGAUGGGGCUGUCAGAGCCGUGCUGUGUGCUUAUGGCUGGGGAGGUGCUCUGGGCACAGGGCUUGUCGCUGCUGCAGAAAAUUGCCCCACAGGGGGUCGUUUCUUGUGCUUCUUCCCAGCCUGAUAGCGUGUGGUAGGAUGGAGCUUUGGAAGCUGGAUGAAAAUCAGUUCUGAGUUUAAAAAUGCAGCCAGGUGUGGUCGGUCGAGUCAUUUUUCUGCCUCCUGAUGCUUCAUAGACAUGUCAGCAGUGGACAUCAUCACAAGCAUAAGGAACGAAGUGAUCUAAAACUCUCCACCAAGCAGGGAAGUAGCAUUAAUCUUGUUUUAUUCAGAGGGAGAUGGAAAUAAAGGAGUUUGAUACAGCUUGUCCAACAUCACAUGGAGGAUCUCUUUUACAAAAACCAGAUCUCUCAUCUCUUAAUCUGAGGCAUUAGCUGCAGCAACAUCCUUCUUCCUUAACGUCCCUUCAUGCAUGCAGUAACUUUGCACUAACGGUCUGUUUUUAUUGGGCAUCGCCUUGAGAAAUGAUUUCUUUGAGCCCCGGCCAACUCACUCACUGGCUUUUGUUCAGCUGUAAUGAGAUGGCUUAACAUAAAUUCAGGAGCAUGCCAGGGCUUUGCACCUGAACAGGCAGCCAGAGGUCUGAACCCUACGUCCAACACUUAGAAAAACAUCCCCGGAUGUUGUUUGCAGAGAAUCAGUGAGGAAGAGGAUGAAUGCAGAUGUGUGACACGUGCCAGCUGCAGCGAUCUCAGGUACUUGGGCCUGAUUCUUUCUCGUGUUACGCUGUAUCAUUGCUCCCUGGUUCAGUCUGCAUCUUUUCUGUCAGAGAGGCAGGGAGGGGAAGAUGUGGCCUCACAUCAGCGAUGUUGGGCCCAAGCAUGACUCCAGAGAGGCUGGCUGAUUGGGGGCAGAAGGAAGCGAGGUUUUGGUGGUGGUAGAGGGGCAGUGCUGGGUCCUACAGCAGAAUGGGGCAGUGGGAGUGCCAGGGCCUUCCGUGCCACCCUGAUUCUGAACAGUAUUGCUGUGACUGACUUUGUUUGCUGUUUGCAAUAGUUUUCUCUUUGGGUCCCAGACCAGGCAGUUUUUGGCUUGGUUUUAAUUACCAUCUGACCUCCUCACUGCUAGUUCUCUUCUGCACUUGCUGUGUUGCAGUCAUUUUGCUCUGGGCGGUAUUCUGGGAAAAACUAGGACAAGCUCCUUGGUGCCUUUGGUAGAUGUUAUGCCUGGAAGGUGGCCCAGUGCUGUAAGAAAUGCUCCUGACUGAGUAAGAGAAGCCAAGAAGUAAAAAGUUAGGAUAGCAUUCCAGUUAAAACAUGGGAGCACCUCUUGCCAUUUCAGAGUGGCUUAGCCUAUGUCAUCACAGUGCUGAAAGAAAGGAGGGUCUGGAUGCCGCAGCUCCCAGGAGAGUACUGAUCAUAUAAACAACAAUGAAAAGCUUCCAGUGAUAGCCUGGAACACCACCUUCUGUCUGUCUGUGUAGUGCUGGGGAGGACAGCCCCACAAGGCAGGCCCCAGCGUGCGCUCCUGUCGGUGUGGGUGCUGCUGGCAAGAGGUGGUGGUUCUGCUAUGGGUUUGUCAAGUCCUUUUUCUAACGGGGCUCUGGCCUGAUGGUGCUGUAGCUGUGUAAAGGGUGAAUAUUGAAAUGUUAUUAUCUAGUCCUGAGCAGGCACAAACUCGCUGUUUUUCAUCCCUGCUGAAUUUGCCAUCCCUACUGAGUUAUUCUUAGAAUGUUGUUGAAUAAAAGCCUAGCUUGUCAGCAUGGCUUCUUUUUGAUUGUAUUUGUGCACUGAGUCUAACCUACGGACAAUGGCGAGCGUCAUACUGAUUUGUGGAAAUGCUCCUAAUUCUUUGUCUUGUGCCUUUUUAAAUGAAGCAGUCUCUGAAGUGUUUAUCUACAGCGCAUAAAAGCCCCUAUAAAUGGAUGCAUAUUCCUAACUUUAUAAGACUUGCAUAUUAAUCUGCUUAUUUUCUGCCUGAACAAAGGGCCUCCGGAACCCACAAACGUAGUCAUAAUUCUCCUGAUCUGGUUUGCUGCAAGGUUUUGCUUGACUACACAGAUGUUUUCCAUGUAUUUGGCAAAAGAGGGGUCAAAGCCUGCAUCUGGCCCACUAUUUCUGGCAAAAACCCCGAUGUGCUUAAUCCUUUUUGAACAUGAAUAUUCUGAGAGCUCAUUUGAUUUAUUAACCUGAUUAUUUUAAUGUGGAGAAACAAUGUGGAACAGUGACCUUCGUUCAGGAAAAUGCUUGUCCAAGUGUUUCUGCUCUGAAUCCGUCCAAGCUCAAUGCAGAGUGUGUGAAGGACUGGUGUACACCACAGGGCUACUCAGGGACACAGUUUUCAAAGUUGGCUGCCUAAAAGAAAGCAUCUUUAACGAGAGCGGCUGGGUUUCAGAAGCUGCUGAGGAGCCACUGAUGCCAAGCAGAGCCCAAUUUACAAUCACUGAGCCAAGUUUUUCUUUAUAACUGCAAACCCUGAGAAAUCUCAAUGGGAAAAGAAAUCUGGAUGUUUCAAAACGUACUUCUUUUCAUUCUGCAUGUAUGGCAUGGAUUGAAUAGCAGUCAUCCAGAAAGCAGAAAUACCAGUGUCAGAGUCAGAACGCUUAUACAGGGUAGAGAUUUGCUGUUCCAUUUCACUCUUCUAUCCUGGUGUGACUUUGUGACCUCAAGAAAUCCCUUUCUAUCAUGAAAGCUGUCUCCAAGAAUUGGCACCUUUGUGAUUACAUCUCAUUUCUGGUGCUGGAGAGCUGCAUCCAGGAGCUCAAGCUGUGAAGUGGUGAACAAAGCCCUCUGCUAUCUUGUGCUUCUUCACAUAGAUGAAAAUGGACACAAAGAAGCUGGAUUGUGUCUUAAGGUGAAGAAAGAUGCAGCAGCAACUUUGUGAUGGUGCUCCUGGAGAGCAGCGCGGUGCAGCUGGGCUGUGGGGACCACCAGCAUCCCUGCCUCUGCAUCACCCCAUCCAGCACUGGGAAGCACUUCUGUAGGCGUGGAGGUUUCCAUCUUCCAGGCUGUUUGGGCAUGGAGUGCUCCAACAAGGUCACUGACUUGCCCUGUUAUUCUGAAGGUCUCCAUAUCCAUGUGACAUGUGCAGUCCAUGUGAACUAUCUACAGACAUUAGAGAUUUACACUUUUUGUAGACCUUUGAGGAUGCAAAUCCUACAAGUUGCACUUUAAAGAUCUUCUGCUUGGCGUCACAGCCCCAUCCGUGCCAUCUGGAGGAGCGGAGCAGCCCCGAGCUGGAGUCAGGAAGGAGAAGAAUGUUUAUAAUUAUUCCUGCUUUUCAAAAUUUGCGUCCACGGUUCUCAGGCAUAUCUGGCAUCAGGCAGAAUGCUGAUGGAGACAAGCUGAAACCAGACGUAUAUCUGUGGAGAUCUAUUCUUCUGAAGCACGGACAGAUUUCCUGAGCGCCACCAUUCCAAAGGCAGGCACAGGGAUGCAGCACCAGGCACCAAAGCAUUGUCCAGCCCAUCAGCACAAAGUGACAUGAGAGGGUGUCUGGACUAAAGUAUAGGCAAGAGAAGCUAAACUAAGCCCUACUAAGCAGAGCAACGUCCCAGUCCUGCAAGAAGCUGGUGCUGAAGUGCAAAAGGGUCUGCAAAAACUGAAGACAAAGGAAGCCUCAAAAUAGUGAAACUUCAGAUGAGAAAUUCUUGUGUGUGAGUUCUGGUUUGUUUGUUUGUUUGUUUGUUUUUAAUAUUUCCUACAACCUCUUUAUCUCUUUUACAUUUGAAUGAACUAAAGAAACCAAAAUCUGAGGAAACUGGCUGUGGCAGAAAGCAGAGCCAAGGCCAGGUUUCCAGGGGAUGAGUAAGAAAGAAACCUACAGCAAGUAACCAAAACCAAAACCCAGCCUCGAGCUGUUAUCAUCAAGUUAUCUUGAGUAAACUAUGUAUUGUGUAUUUCCUGAAGAGCAUGACCAAAAUUCAUUGAGACCAUUGCUCUCUCAGUAGGUUAUGGCGAAAUGCCCAACUAAUGUUGUAUGCCUCCUUUUUGAUACAUAGCCAAAAGGAUUUGUUGGUUUGUUUUCACUCAUUCCUUACUCAUGAAAAAGAAGUGAGCUUAAUGGGUUUUGCAAUUCAUUUUUCAUUUGUUCGGAAGCACUUCCUCCAUCCAAACCAUAGACAGAUUGUUUCCCAGCAUAGAAAAAUCUGUACUGAUGUGGCUGAGAUUUAGCCACCUCAUUUGCUCUACCAGGAGCGCUCUGAACUUCUGCAGGGCACAGUGAGUUUCUGGUGGCAGCACCAAACUUGACUUAUUCCAAAAAACUUCCCCAAAUGGUAAAGUAUCACUGAAAAGAAAGAAAACACAAUUGUCUUCAACCAUUAUGGCUGCCCUAAUUUGAAUCACAUGGGAAAGCGCUUUGUUAAUGGCUUUGUUCUUUUACUCCUUGUUGGCAAUACAACAAAACAAAACGCCCCAUUCUUUGUUGUUUUUCCUUUAUGUGUUGCUUUUCCAUCUGGUUUGAGAAGAAACUGGCCUCCUGGGUCAGUAAUCAUGUUGAAAGACUUGAGAACUGGGGUAGAUUCCCUCAAAUUCCUGAAUAACUCCUGACUGACCACUUUACCUCCACUGCUCUUCUGUAAAAUGGCAGUAAGUUGACUUUACCUCCUAGGGCCUUUGUUAGAAAAUGUAUUUAUUGCUGCACGCAGGUACCCAAAAUUCAAGGCAAAUGCGUGUUGUAUUUUUCAUUACAGCAUGUCCUGUGUAGAGUUUAAGCUAAUAUGCCCCGAUUAUGGCUCACGAUGAUGCGAUGAUUCGUAAGAGGAACAAGUUGGAAUAGAUUGAAAUAUAUACAUGUAAAAGAAGGGUGUGCGGCCUCCCAGCACUCUUUGAAAUAUAAAUGUGAGAAUUCCUUUAGGUGUAGUGCUGGAAGCCCUGGAAACCCUCAUGCCAGCUCACACGGGCAGGUGCUGAGCAGAAGGAGCAUGCCAGGAGACAGAGAAGAUUUGGUUUCUGCCAGCAGGCCGCAAAGGCUGCAGCCCCACAGUGCUCUGUUGUUGCAAGCCUAGGACAGGCAGUGGGAUGCACCCUGUGAGUGCUGCCUUCUGCUUUCAAGCUCAGGCAGAAGGCUUAUUGCGGUAUGCCCUGGACCUGGGUAUUGGUUUUUGUGUUUUGUUUGUGUUGUGCUUUUUUCCUUGUCUGCUUUUUUACCACCAAUUUUUCUGAGUUCAAUUUUCAUUUGAUUCCCUCUCUUAGGCUAUUAUUUACAAUCGAACAGCAAAAUGUUACAGGCUGAGCAGGCAGGGCACUAUAUAUAGCAAAAGCAGGGCAGUUCCCUGCUCUAAUCAUCUCCUGCUGCUUUUAUGUAGAUAGUAAAUGAUGGGCCACAGGGUGAGCUGCAAUUCAGCUCUAGGAAAUGCAUGUCAAAGGAGUUUAAGCACUGCAUCCUGCCCACACCAAGAGGAGGUAAUUUGGGCUUGACAUGGCAGUACUGGGUUUUCACAGAGCUGAAGAGUUUCAGAUGAGAUCUUGUGUCCUUUGGCCGAGCGCCCAGAGAGCCCAUGUUUCAGAAUAGGAUAUUUACAACAGCAAACUGUAGCGUUCCCCGCUUUGAGUAACAGGCAGAUUUCAGCCAAAACAAAACAAAAGAAAAGCAGCCUUCAUUCACACCGUCCCCCUCUGCUGACCCUGCUGUCGUGCUCAGCCUCCCUCAGCCCUGGGUAGCGGGCCUGCCUCAGCUGGGGACAGCCUCACGGCUGCCAUUUGCUUUGUUUGUGCUUCAGGCUCCUUCCACUGCCUCGCCUCCCCCGAGCCGCCUGGCUUGCACUGGCCUUUUUCCCUCUGCCAAGCCUGCUUCACUGCCUGCUCAGGUCUGGGGCCGUUCUGCUGCCUGCUCUUUUUACAGCAGUCCAAGUGAGCAGAAAUAGUUGAACCAACAAUAAAAGUUUGCCAGCUCUGGUCAUUUGGGUCCUACAACUGAAACACAGUGUGAGAAAGCUUAAGCAGGAGCUUUGCUGAUGGGGCUUAGUCCCAAAUCCAUGCAAAUCCAAGGUAAUCUGGAAGCUGCUCGCUGCCCUUUCUUAGCAUCACGGUGUCAAAAGGCUUCAGCAGAGCAGGAGCUGAAGGAGCCAGGAGCUGUGUGCAUGCCUUGUCAGAGAAAGUUUGUGAGCUGAAGGUUUUAUAAGCUGCCUGUUUCAAACAGCAAGAAAGUUGAGUGCAGCAGUUCUGCUCUCACCAGCACAGAGCCAAGGGAUGCAGGCUCAGGUCCAGCUCUGAGCAGCAACCGAGGCGCUGCAAUGCAAAGGAGUAGGCAAGUUGCUGAGGACAAGGCCCUUAGUUAUUUUUUCUGCCCAGCUGAAGGAUUGUUCAUGCAUUUUAUUCACCGUCUGAUUAAUGUGAAGUACAAAAGCACUCUGCCUUUGCAAGCAGGAGUGAAACUGCAGUCUCCACCCUCCCAGAGGAAUGACUUAAAUGUGAAGCUCUGGUGUCGUGCUCUUCCUUUCCUUCUAUCUGAUCAAAUGCAUUUUUAAUUCUUUAAUGCAAAGUAGGAAAGCAUCAGUACGAGAGUUUAAGAGCUCUGCUUUGUUCCAGAAAAGCCUCAACCAUGGUUGCUAAAGAGCUCCGCUGGGAACACAGGCACAGCUCCUGCCUUUGUGGGAGCUAACAUUGAACUCCUGUGCUCGGCGACCACCUACCACACUGCACGAGCAAGAGGUCACUUGUUGGCAUGCAGCACCAGGUACAGCGGCAUUUCCUCCCUGGUGGUCUCGGGAGGGGCUCAGAGGAGGGCUGCCUGGGACCCCAAGCUCCGGCCCUGUGCACCAAGAGCAGAGGUGCAGGGUUAGCCACACCACGGCAUGAGCUCUUCAUUGUCCACUACUGGGUUUCAACACGCUUUGGGAAGCCGCCAUUCCUUAGGAGCUGUCUUAUGCUCUACUGCCUACGUGAAAUGCAGAUGGACCCAGUGGUCUGCCCAAAAUGAAAUAAAAGCUGGAUGUGCUGUUCAUUCCAGAUGUUUCCAGAACAGAUGCAAAACAUUCCAGGGUCGCUCUUCUCAAGGUGUUGGGGUCACUUGCUGGAUUGUUUUCACUGAAGGCUCGGUACGACCCAAGUCACCGAUCCUUUCCAGUUAAGUCACUUCAGAUGAACACAGUGAAAGCCAAUAAAUAAACAGGAGAACUGCUGAUUGGAAAUGUUUCCCUAUUGCUGCCACCAGUAAAAGCAGCCAGCAAUCUGCUGUGUUUGCAGGGUGAAACAGAGUACAGACUUUUUAGUCCUCAAUCCAGCGCUCACCUAAGAGAUUUAGGGCCAGAUAUCCCAUUUAUUUACACCUAUGUAAAAUUAAGGACAUUUCAUCCAAGUUAAUGUACCACCAGGUGGUGGAUUUUGCCUCAGAUCUCAUUAUUUGUUGGACUUUAAUUUAUAUUCAGCCACUGUGCAUAUACACACAUACAAAGCGGUAAUUUUUUACCAACAAUAGGAGUGGAGUUUGCUAUAUAAAUCAGCGUUUCUCAGUCAAUAUGUUGCAACCCCUGCAGGGGUUAUAAAAACCAUCUGGGGGCCUGUAAAGCACCGAAAAUUUUAUAACAAUCUAAAGCAAAGAAAAUGUCAUUUCUUCCACUCUCCAUAUAGCAGCACCAUUCUGUUGGCAGCCUGUCAAAACCAUACAAGAAACAAUAAAUUCUAUGGGCUUAUCACUUUCACCGUAAUUUUUUAGUCUUGGCUUUAUAUUACACGUGCGGAAAGUUUCUUUUACUUUUAACACAGGAUUUCCAAUCUGAACUGCUUGAAAAGAGGUGCUCUAAAACUUCUGGCCUCAAAAGAAGGUAGUUUUCAUCAAGGGCCUCUGCUUUAGUCUUCUCCUAAGCUGACUGUUAAAACUACAGCCUAUUUUGUGAAGCUUAGGCUUGUUUGUGUUGGAAUCAGUUUUUCUGUUUCUCCAUGACUUUCUGUCUGUCAGCUUCCUCUUUAAGUCUAAAUCAUACAGGGCGACAGCAGCAUUUCCCUCUGUGGGGAGAGAUGUUUUGCUUCAAGUGGAAAAAAUGGAUGAGAUUUCCUGUAUCCUCAGUAGAGACUCUGUGCAUGGUUUGAAAUCUGCCCUUCCUAAGGUGAGAUAACAUCAGACGAGCCUAUGUGCUUUCAAGUGUAGCCUCACAGCACACGCGACUCGUCAGUGAAUUCUGCUUUCAUGUGCACACCUUUAAUCUCUGUGCACAGGUACUUAUGUAUGAAAUGAAUUUCAGUAGCAACAAAUUGUAGCCCACAUGCACACAUACAAAGGAAUCUGAGUCAGAUCUUGCAGUGCCUCCUGCAGCAUAGUUUCUACAGCAGUUUAAGCCAGCCUCGCUGCCGGCUGCCGUAGGCCCGGCCAUUUUGUCACUGCAGUGCCUCCAGCGCUCAUC
ensembl:lncRNA